rnacentral:rRNA from 1 species
UACGUAGGGGGCAAGCGUUGUCCGGAUUUAUUGGGCGUAAAGAGCGUGUAGGCGGCUUGGCCAGUCCGCUGUGAAAACUUGAGGCUUAACCUCGAGACGUCGGUGGAAACUGCCUGGCUAGAGUCCGGAAGAGGAGAGUGGAAUUCCUGGUGUAGCGGUGAAAUGCGCAGAUAUCAGGAAGAACACCCGUGGCUAAGGCGGCUCUCUAGUACGGUACUGACGCUGAGACGCGAAAGCGUGGGGAGCGAACAGG